CUGGUCUGUACUGUGUAAGCAUUGUACGUCCGGUCUGUAAUAUGCGAUCAUUGUACGUCUGGUCUGUACUGUGUAAGCAUUGUAUGUCUGGUUGGUACUGUGCGAUCAUUGUACUUCUGGUCUUUACUGUGCGAGCAUUGUAUGUCUGGUCUGUACUGUGCAAUCAUUGUACGUCUGGUCUGUACUGUGCGAUCAUUGUACGUCUGGUCUGUACUGUGCGAGCAUUGUAUGUCUGGUCUUUACUGUGCGACCAUUGUACUUCUGGUCUUUACUGUGCGACCAUUGUAAUUCUG